rnacentral:rRNA from 1 species
CGGGGGGCAGCAGUGGGGAAUAUUGCGCAAUGGGCGAAAGCCUGACGCAGCAACGCCGCGUGAGGGAUGAAUGCCUUCGGGUUGUAAACCUCUUUCAGCAGGGAAGAAGCGAAAGUGACGGUACCUGCAGAAGAAGCACCGGCUAACUACGUGCCAGCAGCCGCGGUAAUACGUAGGGUGCAAGCGUUGUCCGGAUUUAUUGGGCGUAAAGAGCUCGUAGGCGGUUUGUUACGUCGGAUGUGAAAUCCUGGAGCUUAACUCCGGGCCUGCAUUCGAUACGGGCAGACUAGAGUGUUGUAGGGGAGACUGGAACUCCUGGUGUAGCGGUGAAAUGCGCAGAUAUCAGGAAGAACACCGAUGGCGAAGGCAGGUCUCUGGGCAACUACUGACGCUGAGGAGCGAAAGCGUGGGGAGCAAACAGGAUUAGAUACCCCGGU